UGGAUCCAAGAUUUGCCCUAUUAUGAGUACAGAUGUCAUGACGUCAUAGUGUGCUAUGUGACGUCACUUGUUUGUUCAGUCUCUGUGAUCUCUGUUCCAGUUUAAACACGGACAAAACUGUUUGUUGUACACGGACAUAAAGAAGUGGUAUGGAUCGGACAUAAAGAAGUCGUAUGGAUCGGUGUCCAUAUGUAACUACAGCAUCGCCAUCGCCGUCAUAUUCUGCUUGCUGUGUCCUAUCGCCGUCAUUGUCCUCACCGUCCUCACCUUCAUCGGCAUUCUAAAGGAUAAAAUAGUACAGUUCGCAGAGUUACCGUUCCUGAUCCAGGUCAUCGCCGACGGUGUUGCAUUCUUCUUGGUCCUCAUUUCUGCUUGCACCAUCAGUGUUGGCUUCAAAACGUUGUGCGACAGCCUCGUUGGCGGCAAAGAUGUGUCGUGCUCAGAAGCAGCAGAGAUACUUAUUCAAAUCAAACCAGAAAAAUACUACUUCCAUGGUUAUCUGUCCGCGGCAGAGG